rnacentral:rRNA from 1 species
UACGUAGGGUGCGAGCGUUAAUCGGAAUUACUGGGCGUAAAGCGUGCGCAGGCGGUUAUGUAAGACCGAUGUGAAAUCCCCGGGCUUAACCUGGGAACUGCAUUGGUGACUGCAUUGCUGGAGUAUGGCAGAGGGGGGUGGAAUUCCACGUGUAGCAGUGAAAUGCGUAGAGAUGUGGAGGAACACCGAUGGCGAAGGCAGCCCCCUGGGCCAAUACUGACGCCUCAUGCACGAAAGCGUGGGGAGCAAACAGG